rnacentral:lncRNA from 1 species
AGUCCUAUCACGGGCUGUGGUCUCUGUGUGGCUGAUUGUACAGGUUGUCUCCAAAACUGGCCCAAGGGUGGUGACCCUGCUGGCAGUCAUAGCUGUUAGGGACUGGCCUAGAGUACGUUCAUGUGCUGUCUCAACUACGUACACUGCAGCAUGUGUGUUCAUUAUGAGUGAUAAAUAGCUGCCACAUUGUUACUAUCUUUUGAGAAAAGAAAGGGCACCUGUCUCAGGUUGUUACUUAACGCUGGCUUUGUUUAAAUGGCUUUAGUAAGGAAAUUUAAAAAAAGCAAACAGAACAAAGUAAAUGAAUAGCUGUAUACUAUCCAGAUAAUGUAUACUUAAGGUCUGCUUAGGCCACGUGACAGAAAGAGUCAUCAACACCUCCCCACCCCCUUCUUCUUCUUCUGAGGAAAUGCCAGCAUGUAUGACCCACAAAGCUCUUCUGAUCCCGCAGAAUGGCCACAUCAUCUGGGAUAUGGGGUUCUCUUUGUGCGGCUUGGAUUUCCCCCUUUGAGGCUGGUUCCCUGAGAUUAAAUUGCUAAUGGAUUUCCGUUUUUUUGUUUGUUUGUUUGUUUGUUUGUUUGUUUUGUGGCUAUUAAUAAAAUGGCUAUCUUUCGUGUGGAACAUUUGGACGAGUUUUUGUUCUCAUUCAGUUGACAAGUAUGUACUGAGUGCCUAUUAUAUGUCAGAUACUGUGCUGAACAUGUCUUAAAUAAAGCUUAGCCAAAUCCUUCCUUCCCCAUCUCUUUUUCUUCCAGGGCUAAGGCUUGAACCCAAAGGCCUUAUGCCUGCCUGCGAGGCAAGGACACUGUCUAACCCUGAUUUUAGACAAUUUCAUUUGGAUUUUUUUUUUUUGUCUCAAAUACUCAACAACAAGGUUUUGAAACUCUUAAUUGUCCCCAAUAUUUUCCAUUAAAAUUCCCGCUGACUGAGUUUCUCUUCUACCCGUAGUGAGACAAUGGCGUAGCUAUCAGCAGGUCCUCUUUCUUUUACAUCUAGGAAUGUGAAAUGUAAAAUAAAGGGGUACACUUAUUUUUCCUCCUCCUCCUCUUGGCCAGUGUUCAACGUUGGCAAUUUCAUGCCUGCAUACAGAGUUCGGUGCGAAAUGCAUAGCCGUGGUGAUGUGCAUAAUGGUGGCAUUUGUACAGAUCUUGAUGGAUGAUAGAUAACUUGCUUUGUCUACGAAGCCUGCCGCUGGCCUGGAGAUCGGAUUGGACUGGAGACUCAUUCUUUCAAACCAAUACCUCAGAGAAACAAGUUUUAGUUUCCAGACCAUCUAAUGUAAUACAAAUAAUAGCUUCUGUAUGGAUUUUGGGCUAACCUUACAGAGCACAAUCCCAUAUUAAUUGGCUUUCUAUAAUCCUUGAUUUCAGAUGAGAGAACAAUUUAGACUAUGUGUGUGUGUGUGUGUGUGUGUGUGUGUAUUUGAGCCUGUGUAUACUUGAAAAUUAGCCCUUUUAAGAUGAGAAAUUCAAUUUGCCCCAGGUGGUUUUGUUCUGAACCCUGUUUCCCAGGAGCCCCCACAUGCCAUUCCCAAUUAACCCACUGGCAAUGGGAGCUAAGUCUUUAGUGUUAGGGGCUCUUUGGGGAGAUCCCAAUGUGUGCCUCCAAGGGUUAAAGAAAAACCAAAUCAUGUGCAGACAGCAUGCAAUGUGUGACUUGCAGAUGGGACUCUUGGCCCUCUGCCAGGGUUCACCGUGAAUCUUUUAUUGAUCCUUUGGCAUAAUUUGGAAUGCUGUUAGCACUAUCAGAUUAUUUUUAAAAAAUCCAUAAUGUUUGAACUUGACCAUUUAGAGGAAGCUUCACUCAUGAGAAAUGGAGGCUACAAUGAGAUCUUAGGAGUUGUUGCGAUUAUUUGUUCAAGCAUUUUAUUCUUGGGGUUUAGACAGGGCUCGCUCAUCUUGGCCAGCUUUUCUAAUGCUUCCGAACGAACACUGAGCUUUCUACUGGCUUUCAGUGCUGAGCUUGGUGGUAUGCUAAGUUAAGAUCUUUGACUUUGGGUGUCAGCUAGCACAUCAUUUUUGACCAAGCUAUUUUGUUCUUCACUAAUCAUCUCAGACCUUGUGCUCAGCACCCUUUUGGGGGACUCUCUGAUCCUAGGAAGAGUGGCGUUCCAUCUGUUCUUGGUCACUGUGGCUUUGGCACUGAAGGCAGAAACAGCAGCCUAAAGGCCAGCGGGAGCAUGGCGCUCAUUUUUGGCUUAUCAUAUAAUAGAGCGAUCCUAUACCCUGAUAUGGCAGAUUUCUACCACUGGAAACACCUAGAGGGAUGGCUCAAGAUCUGCUGAGGACCAUGUGAGAAUGGCAGGGAGAGCCCUAUUUGUUAUUCACACCUUUAGGAACAAAGGCCAGGUCCAGGUGUCUUUGACUUGAUUAAGUCCUUGCAGCCAAACAGAUUCUCUUCUUUUUAAUAAACCUUGGGUCCAAAAUUUUUAUGUAUGCUUAUUUUAAUGUAACAGGAUUCCAAGUACUGUGACCCGGACAUGAUGUUAGCUCCAUUACAGAGCCUUUGCUUUGCCUGUGUGAGGCCUUCAGUUCCAGCCCUGAAGAAAAAUUCUUAACCUAUAAUUAUACG